rnacentral:rRNA from 1 species
GACGAACGCUGGCGGCGUGCUUAACACAUGCAAGUCGAACGGAAAGGCCCUGCUUUUGUGGGGUGCUCGAGUGGCGAACGGGUGAGUAACACGUGAGUAACCUGCCCUUGACUUUGGGAUAACUUCAGGAAACUGGGGCUAAUACCGGAUAGGAGCUCCUGCUGCAUGGUGGGGGUUGGAAAGUUUCGGCGGUUGGGGAUGGACUCGCAGCUUAUCAGCUUGUUGGUGGGGUAGUGGCUUACCAAGGCUUUGACGGGUAGCCGGCCUGAGAGGGUGACCGGCGACAUUGGGACUGAGAGACGGCCCAGACUCCUACGUGAGGCAGCAGGGGGGAAUAUGGCGCAGUGGGCGGAAGCCUGAUGCAGCAACGCCGCGUGCGGGAUGACGGCCUUCGGGUUGUAAACCGCUUUCGCCUGUGACGAGGCGUGAGUGACGGUAAUGGGUAAAGAAGCACCGGCUAACUACGUG